GAUGUGGAGGAACACCAGUGGCGAAGGCGACUCUCUGGUCUGUAACUGACGCUGAGGAGCGAAAGCGUGGGGAGCGAACAGGAUUAGAUACCCUGGUAGUCCACGCCGUAAACGAUGAGUGCUAAGUGUUAGGGGGUUUCCGCCCCUUAGUGCUGCAGCUAACGCAUUAAGCACUCCGCCUGGGGAGUACGGUCGCAAGACUGAAACUCAAAGGAAUUGACGGGGGCCCGCACAAGCGGUGGAGCAUGUGGUUUAAUUCGAAGCAACGCGAAGAACCUUACCAGGUCUUGACAUCCUCUGACAACCCUAGAGAUAGGGCUUUCCCUUCGGGGACAGAGUGACAGGUGGUGCAUGGUCGUCGUCAGCUCGUGUCGUGAGAUGUUGGGUUAAGUCCCGCAACGAGCGCAACCCUUGAUCUUAGUUGCCAGCAUUCAGUUGGGCACUGUAAGGUGACUGCCGGUGACAAACCGGAGGAAGGUGGGGAUGACGUCAAAUCAUCAUGCCCCUUAUGACCUGGGCUACACACGUGAUACAAUGGACAGAACAAAGGGGUGCGAGACCGCAAGGUUUAGCCAAUCCCACAAAUCUGUUCUCAGUUCGGAUCGCAGUAUGCAACUUGAGUGCGUGAAGCGGGAAUCGUUAGUAAUCGCGGAUCAGCAUGCCGCGGUGAAUACGUUC
rnacentral:rRNA from 1 species